rnacentral:rRNA from 1 species
AACGAACGCUGGCGGCAGGCCUAACACAUGCAAGUCGAGCGGGCAUCCUUCGGGAUGUUAGCGGCGGACGGGUGAGUAACGCGUGGGAACGUGCCCUUUGCUACGGAAUAGCCUCGGGAAACUGAGAGUAAUACCGUAUGUGCCCUUCGGGGGAAAGAUUUAUCGGCAAAGGAUCGGCCCGCGUUGGAUUAGGUAGUUGGUGGGGUAAUGGCCUACCAAGCCGACGAUCCAUAGCUGGUUUGAGAGGAUGAUCAGCCACACUGGGACUGAGACACGGCCCAGACUCCUACGGGAGGCAGCAGUGGGGAAUCUUAGACAAUGGGGGAAACCCUGAUCUAGCCAUGCCGCGUGAGCGAUGAAGGCCUUAGGGUUGUAAAGCUCUUUCAGUGGGGAAGAUAAUGACUGUACCCACAGAAGAAGCCCCGGCUAACUCCGUG